rnacentral:rRNA from 1 species
GACCUGGCUCAGGAUGAACGCUAGCGACAGGCCUAACACAUGCAAGUCGAGGGGCAACAUGGUGUCAGCUUGCUGAUACCGAUGGCGACCGGCGCACGGGUGAGUAACGCGUAUGUAAUCUACCUGUAACAGAGGGAUAACCCGGAGAAAUCCGGACUAAUACCUCAUAGCACAUAUUAUUCGCAUGAAUUUUAUGUUAAAGAGACUCGGUUACAGAUGAACAUGCGUUCCA